GAUCAUGACUCAGGAUGAACGCUAGCGACAGGCUUAACACAUGCAGGUCGAGGGCAGCAUAAAAGUAGCAAUACUUGGUGGCGACCGGCGCACGGGUGAGUAACGCGUAUGCAACCUACCUAUCAGAGGGGAAUAACCCGGCGAAAGUCGGACUAAUACCGCAUAAAACAGGGGCACCGCAUGGUGAUAUUUGUUAAAGAAAUUCGCUGAUAGAUGGGCAUGCGUUCCAUUAGGUAGUUGGUGAGGUAACGGCUCACCAAGCCGACGAUGGAUAGGGGAACUGAGAGGUUGGUCCCCCACACUGGUACUGAGACACGGACCAGACUCCUACGGGAGGCAGCAGUGAGGAAUAUUGGUCAAUGGGCGGGAGCCUGAACCAGCCAAGUCGCGUGAAGGAAAGAAGGAUCUAUGGUUCGUAAACUUCUUUUGCAGGGGAAUAAAGUGCAGGACGUGUCCUGUUUUGUAUGUACCCUGAGAAUAAGGAUCGGCUAACUCCGUGCCAGCAGCAGC
rnacentral:rRNA from 1 species